rnacentral:rRNA from 1 species
UACGUAGGCAGCGAGCGUUGUUCGGAGUUACUGGGCGUAAAGGGUGUGUAGGCGGUUCUUUAAGUUUGGUGUGAAAUCUCCCGGCUCAACCGGGAGGGUGCGCCGAAUACUGAGGGACUAGAGUGCGGGAGAGGAAAGUGGAAUUCCUGGUGUAGCGGUGAAAUGCGUAGAUAUCUGCAGGAACACCCGUGGCGAAAGCGGCGCGCUGGACCACUACUGACGCUGAGGAACGAAAGCUAGGGGAGCAAACAGG